rnacentral:rRNA from 1 species
AGUCAUAUGCUUGUCUCAAAGAUUAAGCCAUGCAUGUCUAAGUAUAAGCAUUUAUACUGUGAAACUGCGAAUGGCUCAUUAAAUCAGUUAUUGUUUAUUUGAUGGUACCUUUACUACUUGGAUAACCGUGGUAAUUCUAGAGCUAAUACAUGCUAAAAACCCCGACUCACGAAGGGGUGUAUUUAUUAGAUUCAAACCAGUGUCCCUCGGGACUUUUUGGUGACUCAUAAUAACUUAACGCAGCGCAUGGCCUUCGUGCCGGCGCGGGAUCAUUCAAAUACCUGCCCUAUCAAGUUUCGAUGUGAGGGUAGUGUCCUCACAUGCUUUUGACGGGUAACGGGGAAUUAGGGUUCGACUCCGGAGAGGGAGCCUGAGAAACGGCUACCACAUCCAAGGAAGGCAGCAGGCGCGCAAAUUACCCAAUCCCGAUACGGGGAGGUAGUGACAAGAAAUACCGAUUCAGGAUCUUAUUGGAUCUUGAGAUUGGAAUGAGUACAAUUCAAACCCAUUAACGAGGAACAACUAGAGGGCAAGUCUGGUGCCAGCAGCCGCGGUAAUUCCAGCUCUACUAGCGUAUAUUAAAAUUGUUGCAGUUAAAACGCUCGUAGUUGAACUUUGGGCUUGGCUGGCUGGUCCGCCUCACCGCGAGCACUGGUCCGGCUGGGCCUUUCCUCUUGGGGAUCCACAUGCCCUUCACUUGGGUGUGUUGGGGAACCAGGACUUUUACUUUGAAAAAAUUAGGGUGUUCAAAGCAGGCAUUUGCUCGAAUACAUUAGCAUGGGAUAAUAGAAUAGGACGUGUGGUCUUAUUUUGUUGGUUUCUAGGACCGCCGUAAUGAUUGAUAGGGAUAGUUGGGGGCAUCGGUAUUCAAUUGUCAGAGGUGAAAUUCUUGGAUUUAUUGAAGACCAACUACUGCGAAAGCAUUUGCCAAAGAUGUUUUCAUUAAUCAGGGAACGAAAGUUAGGGGAUCGAAGAUGAUCAGAUACCGUCGUAGUCUUAACCGUAAACUAUGCCGACUANGGAUCNGGUGGUGUUCCAUUUAUGACCCACUCGGCACUUUACCAGAAAUCAAAGUUUUGGGUUCU